AUGCCCGCAAAAGAUUUGGAGGAGAUUAAAAGUCAGAUUAAGGAGUUACUGGAUAAAGGAUACAUUCGCCCAAGUUCUUCACCUUGGGGAUCACCAGUACUUCUACUGGAGAAGAAGGACGGAUCGUUAAGGAUGGUUGUUGAUUAUCGAGGAUUAAAUGCGGUAACCAUCAAGAAUAAGUACCCACUGCCAAUGAUCAAUGAUCUGUUUGACCGACUACAAGGAGCAAAGGUGUUUUCCAAGAUCGAUUUGCGAUCAGGAUACCAUCAGUUGAAGAUUCGAGAACAGGAUAUACCCAAGACAGCUUUUACCAGUAGGUAUGGGCUGUAUGAGUAUACCGUUAUGUCAUUUGGUCUGACUAACGCACCUGCAUAUUUCAUGAACAUGAUGAACAAAGUAUUUAUGGAGUUUCUGGAUAAGUUCGUCAUGGUGUUCAUUGAUGACAUCUUGGUCUACUCGAAGAACGAAGAGGAGCAUAAGGAGCACUUGCGUUUGGUAUUGGAGAAGCUCAGAGAACACCAAUUAUAUGCCAAGUUUAGCAAAUGUGGGUUCUGGUUG
rnacentral:rRNA from 1 species